UACGUAGGGUGCAAGCGUUGUCCGGAAUUAUUGGGCGUAAAGAGCUCGUAGGCGGUCUGUCGCGUCUGCUGUGAAAACUCAGGGCUUAACCCUGAGCUUGCAGUGGGUACGGGCAGACUAGAGUGCGGUAGGGGAGACUGGAAUUCCUGGUGUAGCGGUGAAAUGCGCAGAUAUCAGGAGGAACACCCGGUGGCGAAGGCGGGGUC
rnacentral:rRNA from 1 species